UACAGGGGUGGCAAGCGUUGUUCGGAAUUACUGGGCGUAAAGGGCGCGUAGGCGGCCUACUAAGUCAGACGUGAAAUCCCCCGGCUUAACCUGGGAACUGCGUCUGAUACUGGAAGGCUUGAGGAUGGGAGAGGGAUGUAGAAUUCCAGGUGUAGCGGUGAAAUGCGUAGAUAUCUGGAGGAAUACCGGUGGCGAAGGCGGCAUCCUGGACCAUUACUGACGCUGAGGCGCGAAAGCUAGGGGAGCAAACGGG
rnacentral:rRNA from 1 species